CGGGCCCAGAAAGGAUCCGAAGAACCGCUGCGGCCGCGGCCGCCCCUUUCGAUCGCUUUGAAUUCUGGAAGCAGAAGGGAGUGGCAGGACGGCUAAAUCGAACCCCGGGAGCCUUUUCAUCGCCAGUUGAUUUCUGGUUCGAAGCCUUGGAUCGAUUCCCUUGCUCUAAGAAAGCCCAGAUCCCGAUUCAAUCGCCUCAAAACGUAGAAUCCGCCGGUCCUCGUCUCCCAUGGAGAACCUGCGGCCCGUCCGCUGCAGCGAGAACGAGGAGAUCGGGCUGUACCUCUGGAGAAAGCGGCAGGAGAUGGUCGAGUCCAAUGGCUUGUCGGAGAACCUUGACCAGACGCUGUCCAAAGCCUACCGCAGCAUCUGCGACGCAAAAACCCCAAUCAAGACCUUAAAAGACCUGUCCCAAAUCAAGGGCGUGGGAAAGUGGAUUCUGAGGCUCAUGCAAGGAUUUUUCCAAGAAUCUGUCGCCGAUGUGCCUUCCACGACGAACGAGGCCCACGCAAAGGGGAAGAAAUCGAAGGAACCAAAACGUUAUGUACCAAAGAAGAAUUCAGUUGCAUAUGCCUUGCUGAUUACACUUUACAGGGCAAUGACCAACGGGAGUAGUUAUAUGAAAAAGCAGGAAUUGAUUGAUGCUGCAGAAGCAAGUGGGCUUUCACGAACUUCAAUUGCAUCAGAUAAGAGUAAGCAACCUGGCCAAUUUGGGAUUUCAUCAAGGGAUUGGUAUACCGGAUGGAACUGCAUGAAGAGUUUGAUAUCAAAAGGCCUAGUGGUGAAGUCUAGUUGCCCAGCAAAAUACAUGCUAACACAAGAAGGGCAAGAAGCUGCACGUGAAUGCCUCUUGAGAUCUGGGUCAAUUGAUCUUGAGCCUGCUAAAGCAACUUGUAGAUCUCACAGUGCUCUUGAUGGCCAAAGUGCAUCACCUGUUGACUUGACAUUGCAGUCAGCAAGCGUGAGCUGUCAAACAGAAAUGAUCGACAUUCCAACUGAAUAUGUAGAUAGGUAUAAGCAAGCUGAUUUUUUGGAUUCUGAUCAUGAUUCUGCAAAUCUGGAGAAGUGUUCUUACUCAACAGCAGAGACCUGCAUGCCUAUAGUUUUGGAUAGUAUUGCGAACAUCCCUGUAGGUGAUGCUAGGUGCCGGAAUUCAGUUUAUGCAGAUGCAGCUCAGUCCUCUUUUAAUUUGCGAGCUUGCACUUCAUUUGAUUCUCCUAUGCACAAACCAUCUGCUAAUGAUGCUACAAAAGGAAAUGACAAUGCUAUUGCCAUGCCACCUUAUAGAUCUGGGGAGAAAUUUGAAGAUAUCUAUGAUGUUAUUUUGAUUCUGGAUGAUCGUGAAAACUUUGGGUCCCGUUCAAGAAAAAUUGUUGAUAACAUACACACUCAGUUCAACAUCUUAGUAGAGUUUAGGCGUUUGCCUGUUGGAGAUGGCAUUUGGAUUGCCCGACAUAGAGGGUGUAACACUGAGUACGUGCUUGAUUUUAUUGUAGAAAGAAAAAGAGUUGAUGAUUUGUGCAGAUCAAUUAGGGAUAACAGAUACAAGGAUCAGAAAUUGAGACUACAGAGAUGUGGACUUCAGAAACUGAUAUAUUUGGUUGAGGGUGAUCAAAAUUGUUUGGAGGCAGCUGAAAGCAUCAAAACAGCAUGUUUUACAACAGAAAUAUUGGAAGGAUUUGAUGUACAAAGGACUAGUGGUUUUGCUGAUACCGUGAGAAGAUAUGGUUAUCUCACAAAAUCAAUUAUCCAAUACUACACCAUGCACUUCAUUGACAAGGCUAUGUGCUCUAGAGUUUGCCCUUCAUAUGAUGAGUUUGUUAAGAAGUGUCAAGAUCUUGAGAAGAUGACCAUUAGUGAUGUAUUUGCUCUCCAACUCAUGCAGGUUCCACAAGUAACAGAAGAGAUAGCUCUUGCAGUUGUAGACUUGUACCCAACUCUGCUGUCACUGGCUCAAGCAUACUCCCAUAUUGAGGGGGACCUUCGUGCUCAGGAGGAAUUGCUGAAGAAUAGGAGUAAAAUUAUUAGUGCAAGUGCCAGCAGGAACAUCUUCAAGCUGAUUUGGGGUCGUUGAUGUGUUUGUCCUCCUGUUGGGUCCUAAUCUUGGUCAGAUGAGCAAGCAAAGUCAACAUCUCAAUUAUGCUAUUUCACAGAUCUCUUUCCACUGUGUAGAGAGGUUCUGGUGCUAUUUGGUUCUUCUGUCAAAGCAUGGCAAGCAGUUCCACCUUGCAAUAUUUAGUGGACACUUCCCUCUGGUUUAGUGCCAUGUAUCUUGUGUCAAGAAACCACUCUAUGUACAACAAGGCCUAGCGCCCUAUCGUUUGGAACCAUUCCUAAUUCAGGAAAGUCCUUGAGUGGAAAAACAAGCUUAAAGAUUGAGAGUCAUGCUUGGCUGCCCAUGAUGCAAUGUUCAGUCUUAGGAAUUCAGCCACCCAAUGUAAGAGGAGAGCUACCUGUUAUUGUAAACACAGUAUUCUGUAGCUACAGACCUUCUCAGUUGAGCAUAUGUGGAUCCAAGAUCCAAGUCUGGAGAGAAAAUGUUACUGGGAGGGAUCCUCAUCCAGCUGUUCUCAAUCUUCUCGCAACAUUUGAAGUCAAGGAGGUUGUUGGUGAUGAACAAAAGUUCAGCUUGCUGAAGCACUUCACUUUGUUAUCUGAAGCUGAGGGAGAUUAGCUUAUGCAUUCCCAACAAAUUAACAGCCGAACAGCCUAUUAUGUCUACGGUGACUCAUGUUUCUUGCCAAAAACGGAUUUGGAUAGCUCCAGGUAUUCUUAUACUCAAAGAGUCAAUGUUUUCAUUCAUCAUUCGUUUACUAUAUUUGAUGCUAAGUGCUAAUCAUUGAAGCAUGAACUGUAUAAUGUUUGAUAAAUUGGAAACCCUAAACUAUAAAUGUUACUUUUGUCAAAUCUUCAUUAAGGACCACUCAAAACUUUAUUCUUUAAUGUAAGAAGCAAUUAAAGACACUCAAAUUCAUCGGAUAUGCCAUAUUGAUCGAGGCUUACUGCGGAUCAUGUGGGAGCAAACUAUCUUUGGAGUUUGCAGUAGUAUGCAAUGCCAGCUGAAUUGUCUCAACGCCCCCUCCAGUAUGUGACUUUGGCGUUGCUAACUCGGGAUGGGAA